CCGCCGGCGACCGGCGCACGGGUGAGUAACACGUAUGCAACCUGGCCGUGACAGAUGGAUAACCGGGAGAAAUCCCGCCUAAUACAACAUAAUGCCGGGAGGGGACAUCCCCUGCCGGCCAAAGGGGGCGACCCCGGUCACGGGUGGGCAUGCGGCGCAUUAGGUAGUUGGUGGGGCAACGGCCCACCAAGCCGACGAUGCGUAGGGGUUCUGAGAGGAAGGUCCCCCACAUUGGAACUGAGACACGGUCCAAACUCCUACGGAAGGCAGCAG
rnacentral:rRNA from 1 species